AUUGAACGCUGGCGGCAGGCCUAACACAUGCAAGUCGAGCGAGCGGCGGACGGGUGAGUAAUGUAUGGGGAUCUGCCCGAUAGAGGGGGAUAACUACUGGAAACGGUAGCUAAUACCGCAUACCAUCGGAUGUGCCCAUAUGGGAUUAGCUAGUAGGUGGGGUAAAGGCUCACCUAGGCGACGAUCCCUAGCUGGUCUGAGAGGAUGAUCAGCCACACUGGGACUGAGACACGGCCCAGACUCCUACGGGAGGCAGCAGUGGGGAAUAUUGCACAAUGGGCGCAAGCCUGAUGCAGCCAUGCCGCGUGUAUGAAGAAGGCCUUAGGGUUGUAAAGUACUUUCAGCGGGGAGGCGUUACCCGCAGAAGAAGCACCGGCUAACUCCGUGCCAGCAGCCGCGGUAAUAC
rnacentral:rRNA from 1 species